AGACGGGAGAGGAAGCAAAAGAAGUAAUUUUGAAAGAGUAUCCUGAUUUUAAAGUUCAAAUCAUCCCAGCCGACCAUGGAGUCACUUGUGAUUACGUAGAAACCAGAGUACGUAUAUUUAUCGAAGAAAAUGGAAAAGUUGCCAGACCCCCGAUGAUUGGUUGAAAAGCUACCACUGUCAGAUUUUAUGGAACAUACAAUAUGACCGAAUUAUUUAAAAAUAUAUAUCAGUGAAUGAUGGAAACUAAGAAUUCAGAGCUGUGCUCAUUGACACGCAGAUCGCCGCAAACCAAUAGCGCCACCUGUGUUGACACAAUGGAGCUGUGCUAUAUAUGCAAAUUAGAAUAAUUUAUUUCAAAUGUAAUUUUCCGAUUAAAAGGUAUAUUUCAAUA